rnacentral:sRNA from 1 species
CUUAGGCUUAAGCAUAGGCUGAGGCUGAGGCUUAGGCUUAGGCUCAGGCUUAGGCG